UACGUAGGGACCAAGCGUUGUCCGGAUUUACUGGGCGUAAAGAGCGCGCAGGCGGUCGUUCAAGUCGCGUGUGAAAGCCCCCGGCUCAACUGGGGAGGGUCACGCGAUACUGAUCGACUGGAAGGCAGGAGAGGGUAGUGGAAUUCCCGGUGUAGUGGUGAAAUGCGUAGAUAUCGGGAGGAACACCAGUGGCGAAGGCGACUACCUGGCCUGUUCUUGACGCUGAGGCGCGAAAGCUAGGGGAGCAAACGGG
rnacentral:rRNA from 1 species